UUUAAAGCUGUAAAAAAACAAAGGAAAUCCCAAAUUAAAGUCUAAUUAAUAACCUCCUCAUAUGGAUCAACAACAGGUAAAGGAAUCUACUUUUGUUUGGGGCAUUUUUUGUGUGAAUGCAACUUCCUCCAUUAAAGCUGGAGCAGCCAAAGGGAAGAACCACUUAAAGAGUAGUGAAGGGAAAAGGGACAUGAGGGGAACAUUGUAACUCUGACGCUGAAUUCAGGAGUACUUCCUAUUCUGCAUAAUGGAUCUUCACUUUAUUCUAAGGACACCAGCAAGUGAUUUCAGAAUUCCAGGGUUUCAGCUGCAAUAUUUGGUGAUAUAAUAUUAGAUGAGUAGAAGAGUUUCUACCCCUUGGAAUGUCAGAUUCAUUACUGGAUACCCUGAAACGCCAUCACCACAUUUCUAAACUGGCUCACUUUUUUUUUCAGCUGUCAGCUCCUGGAAUAUCCUUCAGGCUGGAAAACAGCUGAGGGUUAUUUCAAGCAACCCUGAAAGAUCAGGAGACUUGGAUGGAAGAAUCUCCAGAAAGUUAUCUGGCAACUACAUCAGACUUGAGGAGUGACCCUGGUAAAGCAGCAAGGCAUCAAAGGUGCAUUUGCCUAUAGGGAAGCUGGAGACACAGGAUGAGCAGAGGAAAAGUGAGCAGGACUAAGUCAGGGGCUCCUUGACACAGCAUGACCAUAAGGAAUGCCCUGGCACACAGAGCACCUCUCAGGGUAAGGUUCUGAAAAGGUCAAGGAAGUUCUGCAUGAAAAAUGAGGAAACAAUUUUCCAUAGCCUCCAUCUUAUGAAAAUAUAGACACUGAGAGACCUAGUGGAAAUGCUCUAAGUAUCCCAAACAAUCACAGUUCUGUAGUCUUGUAAAUUUAAAGAAGAUCUAAAAUUGUAAAAAAUUGCUGUUUGUCAGCUGUUAAUCACUGCUAUGCAUAGAAAGUUUUCUUGACCAUUCAGCAGUUGGCAGAGGUCUCUACAUCAAUACAUCUGACAAUUUUUAAGUCUGAGAAAAGCAACUUCUAAGGCUGAGAAAAUCAUUUGAUGAACGUUAGUUUUCCACUCAUUAUCUUAUGUUCAAUUAUACUGUUGUCACCUCAUAAUUAGUUUAAAACUCAUUACCUUGUUUGUGUUAUUCCAUUCUCCAGUGCUGGGUUUGCAGCAGAAUUUGGCUGAGAAAAUGACUCUGCUGCUUUGUGCAAUGGGACUGACAACAUAUCAAAUUUUUAUGUUGUUUAACAACAAUUGGGCAUCAUUUGAUCAUAAUUCAUGGAGGUGUGAAAACAGAAUUGUUAAUUUACUCAUUUAAAGCUUCUCAGCUCAAGGGAAUUAAUCUGCAAGUAAUUUUUCAUAAGACAUAUCAACAGACCUCUAUUGAUUUUUUUAUUAAAGUUUUGCAACUAUGC